GAUGAACGCUGGCGGCGUGCCUAAUACAUGCAAGUCGAGCGAACAGACGAGGAGCUUGCUCCUCUGACGUUAGCGGCGGACGGGUGAGUAACACGUGGAUAACCUACCUAUUAGACUGGGAUAACUUCGGGAAACCGGAGCUAAUACCGGAUAAUAUAUUGAACCGCAUGGUUCAAUAGUGAAAGACGGUUUUGCUGUCACUUAUAGAUGGAUCCGCGCCGCAUUAGCUAGUUGGUAAGGUAACGGCUUACCAAGGCAACGAUGCGUAGCCGACCUGAGAGGGUGAUCGGCCACACUGGAACUGAGACACGGUCCAGACUCCUACGGGAGGCAGCAGUAGGGAAUCUUCCGCAAUGGGCGAAAGCCUGACGGAGCAACGCCGCGUGAGUGAUGAAGGUCUUCGGAUCGUAAAACUCUGUUAUUAGGGAAGAACAGAUGUGUAAGUAACUAUGCACGUCUUGUCGGUACCUAAUCAGAAAGCCACGGCUAACUACGUG
rnacentral:rRNA from 1 species